AGAACGAACGCUGGCGGCAUGCCUAACACAUGCAAGUCGAACGAAGGCUUCGGCCUUAGUGGCGCACGGGUGAGUAACGCGUGGGAAUCUGCCCAGCAGUGGGGAAUAACGACGGGAAACUGUCGCUAAUACCGCAUACGCCCUUCGGGGGAAAGAUUUAUUGCUGUUGGAUGAGCCCGCGUCCGAUUAGGUAGUUGGUGGGGUAAAGGCCUACCAAGCCAUCGAUCGGUAGCUGGUCUGAGAGGAUGAUCAGCCACACUGGGACUGAGACACGGCCCAGACUCCUACGGGAGGCAGCAGUGGGGAAUAUUGGACAAUGGGGGAAACCCUGAUCCAGCAAUGCCGCGUGAGUGAUGAAGGCCUUAGGGUUGUAAAGCUCUUUCGGGUGGGACGAUGAUGACGGUACCACCAGAAGAAGCCCCGGCUAACUUCGUGCCAGCAGCCGCGGUAAUACGAAGGGGGCUAGCGUUGUUCGGAAUUACUGGGCGUAAAGCGCACGCAGGCGGCUCGUUAAAUUAGAAGUGAAAGCCCCGGGCUCAACCCGGGAAUUGCUUUUAAGACUGGCGAGCUAGAAUUCGGAAGAGGGCAGUGGAAUUCCAAGUGUAGAGGUGAAAUUCGUAGAUAUUUGGAAGAACACCAGUGGCGAAGGCGACUGUCUGGUCCGAGAUUGACGCUCAUGUGCGAAAGCGUGGGGAGCAAACAGGAUUAGAUACCCUGGUAGUCCACGUUGUAAACGAUGAGUGCUAGUUGUUGGGGUACAUGUACCUCAGUGACGCAGCUAACGCAUUAAGCACUCCGCCUGGGGAGUACGGCCGCAAGGUUA
rnacentral:rRNA from 1 species